CUUAAGAUGUCUGAUGUGACUGUUCGUCUUAUUUGAAAGCCUUUUAUGAUUAGUAUUUUAUUAUUAUUAGAUGAUAAAACAUAAAUAGUAUUUUACGUGUGACUAUUUUUUUAUUUUUUUCAAAUAAGACGUACGGUCAAACGUUGGACACAGAUACCCACAACUGCAAUUAUU
rnacentral:pre_miRNA from 1 species